GCCACUGAAAAACAAAAGGGAGACAGGAAAACGGGGAGAGAAAGAACAAGAUGAGUGAAAGCCAACUGGCCCAGAAAGUAAUCUGUUCUCACCGCAGCAGAUGGAACGGGGAGUCAUUCAAUCCCCCCGAGCCUGGGAACAUGCUUCUGAGUUCGGUAUGAAAGACGUGGGAUUGUACUUGUGGCAAUUUUGACAAUUAGAUUCGGUGAUUAAAAAUAAUCAUCUCGGUUCUGUUUUGCCAGUACCUCGAAUAUGCUCCUUACUGGUUGGGAGGAGAAAAUUCCAGACCAGGAGGCCUAUUCUUCUGGGAAUGCUGAUCCUCCCUCAGUCUUCUAAGCCACAUCUUUGUCCAGGUGAGCAAAUUACCGGCACAAAAAGAGGCAGGGGCGGGAGAGUAAAAUGGCAAUUCCUGGCUUUCUUAUUGUUUCUGCUUUACACUUUUAGCAUUUUCUCAAUGCUGUUUAAAAAAAAAGAAUCAUACAUCUUCCUGAGUUUGACAGAAGACUUCAAGACCCAGGUGGUGGUGGGAAUAGAGGCGUGUACAGAAUGGAUGGAGGAGCGGAGCUGGAGGCUGCUCUGAUAGUACAAAGGGAGCGGAAACAAGGGCUCCAUCUGGGUAGUGUUGAUCGGAGGGGAAGAACGAGCUAUUCUGGAGAGAGAACCGACCGGAUGUGGCGGCAGAUGAGAUGUACAACCGACCCGGAGGCUGGCUGUACAGAUCACUUCGCUGAGGAAGGGUACAGAAAUAAUUUGCAGAUGAGAUCAAAGAAACACGUGCCCGAGAUUUUUGUGAGCCGUGGGGCAUGGGAGAUGUGCCAGAAGACCGGAGACAGGCACAUGCGUCUUCGUUUUGAGAAAUGGUGGAGCGGGAAGCUGGAUUCUUAGAAGUGACAAAAAGCGGUACAGGGAGAGAGAGCGCUCACCUCCUUAGGGGCUCUGUCAAGUCUGCAUGGUGUGCUGUGUCCAGUUACUUAAGAGAGAAGAUGACUGUGUCAUUUAUAAGGUGAGAGUGUAGAUUGAAAAAUUUUACUCUCCAUGCCACUCGGGAUGAAGUUAAGCAACUGCAGAACCAAAUGUUUCAUGGGUUGGUAGCUUGUUAACCUUUGUAAUUUCUCUGAAACAGGAGGUCAUGGUAUAGUCCUGUGGCUGCAUUUUAAUUUUCUUUUCAACAC